rnacentral:tRNA from 1 species
GAGGGUAUAGCUCAGUGGUAGAGCACGUGUUUAGCAUGCACGAAGUCCUGGGUUCAAUCCCCAGUACCUCCA